rnacentral:piRNA from 1 species
UAGGUUCAUGCAUGCCACAGCAACCAUGGA